GCAUCAUCGUUGCCGAAACCAAAACCCAAUGAAACUCCUCCGUGUUUCAUUCACCGCCACCGUCAAAACAUUUCGCGCCACCUUCCGAAACGGCGUGUCUCCGCCGAACGUUAACACUUACAGCGUCAUGAUCCUCCGUGGCUUAUGGUGAAAGGUAAAAUGAGAUGAAAUGGGUAAUUCAAAGCACAUUGAGGAGCUGUAAUCUCUAUGAUUCUAUAGUACUUGAUGAAAUUGAUCUUAUUGAAUGUGAACUUGAUGCUCUUUUGGUUUUGCUAGCUGAAAUAGCUAUUGAUGGUCUGUUACUUGAUGGUGGAAUGUGGUCAUAUGCUUCAGCAAGUACCAAAUAUCUUUGGUUUUGCUUGUUGAACUCUGUUAUCACUUAUCAUAAACCUUUUACCUGGAACUCUACAGAUUUCAAAGACCUCCUUCUAUACCAGGUUAUUUAAAUAAAUAAAACCCUCUGAACACAAGUUGCCUGAGUUUGUAAUUUGAUGUUGUUUUUAGCUAGUCUUCAUCCUCAAGCUGAUUGUGUUAUUGCAUACAACUCCUAGCUUGCAGGGGGUGUUAAUUAGGUUAUUAGUUCUCUAUUAUAUUUUCUGUUAUUCAUCAGUUUCUAGUUUCCUAUAGUUAGUUAAAGCCUCUCUUAGAAGCAUACUUUAAUUCUCUCUGCUAUAUAAGAGGAUUUAUCUGUAAACUCAAUGUUAAUCUGAAAUAUACAGAUUCACUUCACAUUUGUUUCUCUUUGGAGGCAUUUCUGUUACCCUGAUUUUCCUGAUAUUCAGGUUUCUGAUAACCUGAAUGUAUUCUGAAGUUCAGAGCUACUCACCCAGAAUUGAUUGUGACUACAAAAUCAAUUAUAGAAGAGUUUCCAAACAUGUACUAAGCACAUAAUCUGCUCAUGUUUCUGCGGUUUAUGAAUGUUGGUAAUAGUAUACCUGUUGAGUGAGCGAGCUUGAUCUAUUGCUCCUCAAUUUUGGGAUUGUUGCAUUACUUCCUUUCCUAUUCCUUCUCCAUCACUUUUAAUUCAGCAUGUUAUUGGGAACUUGCUUGUUUCUUUUGGCCUCGGACAUCAUCAGGAUGAUGUGUGAUCUGUUGAAAUGAGAAGGUGGACACUGCGGUCACUGCCCCAUGGUUGUUAAUUCAUUAAAAGUGAGAAGCCUUAUAUUGUGUUUGGAUUAAUCACACACAUGCAGUGGCAUAGAACGUACUUUUCUGAGCCUUGCAAGUUGCAAUAGACAACAUAACUGUGUGUGCAUUGGGCUCAAUGGGCUCUCCAUCACAUUCUUUCUCCAGAAUCACCAUCACUACCGUUGAGUCCCUUAUUUCAGGAUUCCAUACAAUUUAUAUGAUUGCAUUUCCAGUUUUUCAUUCAUUUCAGGAUUCUCUGGAACCAGCCUCUUCAAUUCUCUUAUAGUGAGUGUGCUUGACAAUGAUCUUUGUGAAGAAACCAUGUUGCAGUAUCCACAAAUUUUAUUACCAAGCUGGGAGGUUUGUUAUUAUGUUGCAACUUGAGUUGCUGUUUUAAAUGCUACAGUUUGUCCUCAUUUUUGGGUAAUUCUUAGUUCAGUACUGCAAGUGAGCAAAAUUACCCAUUUUUCAUGACAGAACAAUCAAAUUUAUAAUCAGUGAACCUUUUCAACUAACUAACUAAAGUGGAAAAUAUUUGUUUAACUUGAACAUUGUAACAACACUGGUAAUCAUAAAAUUGACUCUGAAUAUUGGAACAGGCUUCUAAUUCCUAGUAUAUUUGCUGGAUGGUUUGCACGAUUUGAUUUCUCUGGUACCAUGUCAAAUAACCAAUUAUCCCAAAACCUGAAACUGUUAGAUAAGGGUCACAUGAAUGAUUUUAAUUUAUAUUUUAAGAAUAGUUAAAGUUAAAGAGGUGAUGAGUUCAUUAGAAGCUUUAGAGUUUAUUUGAAUUCCAUUUUCAAUUUUGAUUCACCUUACAGGCGCAUGCACUACUUACUAAUUAUUUUUUUCUUGCAAGUACGGAAGUACCUAUGCUAUGCAUGCACAUGUUUUUGCUCUCAGACGGAAAGUUCCUUAUUCCUUUCACCCCCUACAAGAUGAAUAGCUCCUCUUAAUGAGGGUGGUCCCAAGCUAGCUCAACGCCAAGAAAUCAUCAGAGGCAAUAGCUUUGAGAUUAAUCUCUCGCCCCGCAAUCAACACACUAAGCAGUAGGGGUUAUCAAGAGGUUUCUUCCAUUCAUAAGAGCUGGGAGACUUGGGAUAGAAAACAUGAUAGGAUAAGAAAUCAUUUUACGUUCACACCCUGCCCUAGCUCUCCUCUCUCUUCUGCGAGAGCCUUCCCUACUAGAGCAGCUCCGUCAGCCGCCAUGCUCCUAGCCGUAGAUGUCACGCUGCUGGUCGCAGCAUUCGCCGUGCAGGGUUUGGACUGGGCGGGACAUAAAGGAUACUUAUGCCCGCCCGAAUCAAGCGAUCAGACGAACGAAAUCAGCCUUGGCGGGAUUCAUGGAACAACAUUGGAUCCCGCCCUUCCCUUUAGCCAGGCCCACACGCCAGCUGGAGUUGACAAGGCGCCACGUUCAGAAAGGAAAGAACGUGACAUAUAAAGGGCGAGAAGGGAAGUUUGAUAUUCAGAUCCAAGAAAAAGUAACCAUAAACAAAAAAGAAGUCGGGCGAUUCCUCAGAAGAUUCCUUGCGUAAAAGAACGAAAUCAUCCUCGCCGCAUGGAAGAACAUUCAACAGGUGAUCUACAUUAUUAGAGGUGGCGGGAUUUAUCUUUGUAAACCCUUGGGAAGAUAUUCGAAGCGAGUUAAUACUCCCAAUACUGCCCCAUAUGGAACGCAAUAGACAUUUAUCCUCAACCAAAUGUGCGUUUGAACGUCAUUCGGGUGAAGACAAAUCUCCAUUAGAGGAGAGAAUAGAAUCAACGGAGCCGGCGGGACCGGAAUCCUCGUGAGUGGAAGGCGAGGAAUAAAUUUCGAUAACAGUAGGGGCAGAAACUUCCCCCUCCGUUGAAGGUGAGGAGAGCUCUAAGGAAGAAAUGCUAAAAUUUUGCAUCGACAUACUGGGUAAUUUCAUAAAAAAUAAAAAGAAGAUGAACAGGUCCAAAAAGAAAAAAGAAGAAGACGAACAGUGUCAAGAAAAGAGAAAGAGAACGGACUCACCGGAGGAAGAAGUGGAGGAUUGAGUAAAGAGGAUGUCGGCUAUGGGAGAGCACCGCGCAAUGACGACGGCCGGGGUGACGGAGAUUCGCCGGAGUUCAAAGAGGAGAAAGUGAGAAAUUGCAGAGAAGGAUUGAGGGAAAAAGGUUUUCAGAAAAGUGAAAAGUGAAAAGUAAAAAGGGUAUUUAUAGAGGAAAAAGGAAGAGAGAGAACGAGUGGGAAAGAUCGUGAAGGGUCGUGGGAUUUGAAAUUUGAAAAGGUAUGAAACGAAAAGACAUAACUCCUCGAGACGCACAACUGCAUUCAUGGCAAAUGAUGACGAAAUCCCGGAAAAGAAGGAUACGUGCGUCAGUUGAAAAGACGUGAUUGACGGUUAUGAUGACGGCGAUGUAUCAACGAAAAUAAAAAUGGCGAUAUAGUGAGGAAUAAAAAUGGCGAUAUAAAAAUGGCCUUAUUGACAAAACAACGGAAUGGCGAGAAAAGCAUAAGCAAGAAUGUGACAACAGGCGUACAACCGCAAAGAACAGCGGUAUGCACAUCAAAGGGCGACCAAUCAAGGUGGACUAUAAAGCAGCACAUUAAGACAUUUCGACUCAAGGAACCUGAGCCUCAUGUCUUGGGGGCAUGUGGACUGGGCGGGACAUAAAGGAUACUUAUGCCCGCCCGAAUCAAGCGAUCAGACGAACGAAAUCAGCCUUGGCAGGAUUCAUGGAACAACAUUGGAUCCCGCCCUUCCCUUUAGCCAGGCCCACACGCCAGCUGGAAGAUUCCUUUAGAUUUGUCUUAUAUGUAUAGAGACUUGGGCCCCGGUUGUCAGGCCCAUGUACAGUGAAAGUCCACAUCAAUGAUCACUCCCUCUAUAAAAGGAGAGGUCAACACCUUGUAAAAAGGACCUUUUGAACAUUUAAUGAGAAUAUUCCUUUUAUGAUAUUUUUAGUACUCUGCUAGGGUUUACUUUCUGUCAGUCUCUUACGUCAGAUCUCCCUAGUACAGA